UAAAGAGUAAUAGAGAAACCUAUAGAAAAUAUUUUCUGAAGUAUUUAUACACCACGAGUCAAUAUUAUACUACGGAUAGUCACCGGCCUUCAUUAAUUUCCGUUUUAAAUUUUGUGAUAUUUUGCGAGGCGGAAGUUUCGAUCUCCCAAAAGGUGUGAAAGAUGUCCGCACACCAUUUAGUUGGUACGGGAAGACGGCCGCCACACCCACCACCGCUGCCUCGGAAUGGAAGCAAUGUCUUAACGGCCUCCGAAGCUCGUGCAGAACGCCUGCGGAUAAUCCCUACCAAUGAAUCGAGAGCAAGAGAGUUCACACCAAUGGAGGUCGAUCAAUUACCUGCCGAUGACAAAGAUUUAAUUCAGGUGUCUAAAGUAGAUCUUAACGUUCGAAACAACACCAGAGCUCACCACACAGAUAGUUUUGACAUCACUGAUGCUUUAGUGUUUGACAACAGAGAAGAACUCGUUAUU